GGAGGGUUGGUGUUGGAGGUGGAGUUGAGUAAAAGGUGUAAAAGUUGAGGAGGAAUUGGUGAACCGGUAAGCAUGUAUCUGUAUAUCAAUGCCUGUACUUCAAGCUCCUGCCAUUGCCCUACGCUGAAGUAACCACUUACACCCUGCAUCAUCUCUUCUUCAACACACAAAAUAAUAAGUACUUACCAAAAGAGAAAAAUCCAAACUUUAAAGCAACCAACAUGGAGAGAGAGAGAGAGAGAGAGUUACUUGAGGGUUUGGAUGAUGAUGAUGAAGAGGUGGGUUCAGAAGAAAAAAGAGGAAGAGCAAGCGAUGCAGAAGAAUCAUCAGGUUGGUGUUGAUUCUGGUGUGCCCAUUGCUUAAGAUGGAAGUCCAUCGAAGGGCUGGGGAGACAGAUGAGAUAUUUGUUCAAAGUUGAACUGAGAAAGAGAUUGAGACAGACAGUGAGAUAUAUAGCUGCUUCUUCUGCUGCUUCUUUGGAAUAUGUAUGGGUGAGCAGGUUCUUGUUAUUUCAAGUAUAUAUAUAUAUAUAUAUAUAUNNNNNNNNNNNNNNNNNNNNNNNNNNNNNNNNNNNNNNNNNNNNNNNNNNNNNNNNNNNNNNNUAUAUAUAUAUAUAUAUAUAAAGCCUUUUUUUAAUAAAAAUAAGGCCAGUGGACUCUGCAGCGGUGCUGUGUGGGGGGAUGUGUGAGUUCGGAAGUCAUCCAGUUGAUAGAAGCGAAGGGCACUCGAAUAAAGAUAUUAAGACAUAAGACAUGACAGUUGAAGACUUUUAAUACAAAAAUGUAAAAAUGGUGUGUGGUACGUUUUUUUUUUUUUCGAAAAAUAUUUAAAUCAUUAAAGUUUUGUAUGAAUAGUGUUUUUGAGAAAGUUUGUGAUUUUGGUUGGAUUGAAAAACGAAAAAAUUAAUGUCUUUCUAAUAAAAAUUAGUUGUAAGAUCCAUGUAUUACAUGGGUUAAUUUAAAAGAAAAUAUAAAAAUCAAAAUAUUUGAAAACUUUGAUUUUAUAAGGUAACUAGGUAAACGGGUUGAUUAUAAAAAAUAUUUAAUCUAGAUACAUAGGUUGAUUAUGAAAAAAUAUUUAAUCUAGGUAAUAACAUGUGGAUCAUACGGAUUGAAUAUAAAAAAUAUUUAAUUGGAAUAAGUGAAAAAUAAAGCACAAUUCAAGUAUAACUCUACUAUUCAUUGAUAUGGGGAAACAAAUUUUUUUAAGUUUAAGAUCCAAAAUAUAAUCAAAAGCUUUCUAGGGACGUAAACUUGAUGGUUUACUCUCAAGAUAUUUUGAUAAUUGGUCAAGAGAAACCACUUUGAUGGUUUCAUCUUCUUCAACAAUACGAUUCAUCAAAAUUACCAGGUUGAUUAAUAGAAAUAUAAAAUAAAGACUAAACAUUAAGGAUUUUUAAAAUGAUAUUUUCCAGAUUGUUCAGUUGCAACUUUGGUUGAACUUGCAUUUGGGUUAUAUGUACAUUGUUCGUGGUACCUAUUUUUGUCAACCUCACCAAAAUCCAGAAGAUUCCCGAAAUAAUUCAAGAAAAUGUAAGAUGAAAAAAUAUUAAAAAACAGUAUUAGUCAAAAUAAUGUACAAAAUAAAGUUUGCUGAAAACAUUGUUUCAGGGAAAAAUAAAGUUUCAACAUCUAAGUCAGAUCGUGGAAUUUGACUUUGACCGUUUUCGAACAUGGGGCUGUCCGAAGAUAGGUUUUGUUCUACCAUAAAAACUGACUGCAGCUUCUUUUGUGCUUUUGAGUAAUUUAAAGAUAACCUCACAUUUUGUUCGGGUGCACCUUUUUUGGAUUCUUAAUCACCUGAAGGUAAUUUGUAUGGUUUUGUAGCUAUGUAUUUUUCAAAGAAUUGUGUGUACCGUGAUUCUGGACAUCUUUGUGACAUGUCAUCUUCACAUGUGUUAUAUCUCGAUCUAGUACCAAAACUUGUUUUUGGUUGAACCUGUAAAACAUAAAAAUGAACUUAGGAUUGGACCUAUCUUCCAUUUUAGUACCAUAACAACUUACAUAGAUAAAGCAGUGAAUGUCAACCAAGAAACCCUUACACAAUGACGCCGUAGAGGUGACUCCCUUUUGACAAAACUAUAAGAGAAGAAUGAACAAAGAAUCAGCAUAUGUCCAUUAUUAGUCAAACUUAUAACAUUUUGUUCUUGACAGAACUGUAAGAGAAUAAAUCAAUGAAAAAUAUAUGUAUUUAGCAAAUGAAAAAAUAACAUAUUAGAAAAGAAAAGAUUAAAUACAUGGACAAAGUGUCAUCAUUACUUUCUCCUUCUUACACACAUGUUCUCUCUUAGCACCUGUUAUCAAGAACAAAGUUGUCAAGGAACCUUUUCAAUUUAAACUAAAAACUUAGGACCAAAAUACUCAUGCAUCCUUAAAGUAAAAAUGCAAUUGACGUCAUCUUCUAAACAUCCGAAAAUAACAUUCUUGCUUUUAUUAUAGCAGUACCCAUUAACAAACAUGGAUAAAAAAAACAUAAAUUAAAUCUAUAAAUCUUCCAGAUAAGAAUAUGACCAAAAUACCAUUUCACCCUUGUCAAACAUUAUUUACUAUGUACCUUUUGCAUCAAGUUUUUGUGCUCUUUUACAAAUGAAAAACUGAAACAACCACAUUAGUAUGGUUCUAGCUGGCUACAUAUGCACUUAAAAUAGCAAAAUUAAUACAUCUGUCCCCGUUGCAGAUAUAAUUGAGUUUCCCAUAACACUGUUUAUGUUUAACCGUUAGCUAAAAUGGUGACAUGUAAAUAGUUGGCUUUUGAGGACAAACAUAUAUGAUUUAUGAGCUUUAUUAUUGGUGUGAUCUUCAAGUAUUGGUAUUAAGAUGAUUAUUAAGCAUAUUAUUAAACUUUAAGUUAGGCAAUACCAAUACAAAAAGACUUAAUAUUAUUAAUUUAUUAGAUAUAUCUUCUUAAUUAAAAAUUUAAAUUCAAAAACUUUGAACUGAAAAAGUCAAAAGGACAUAUAUUACUUUAAUUAUUUAGCUUGAAACUUUGGUACAGACCUGUAAAAUUAUUAAAGGAUAAGUCUUGUAAAAGGAAGGGUUUUUUCAAUAAUUUCAACCGAAAGAAAAAGAUAGUUAGGUAAAUGAAACUGAAAAGACUUGGGCUUUGACUUGCAUUACAAUUCUAUUCAACAAAAAUGAAUUUCUGGUAACUUAAGAUCCACGAUUCCAUCAACGAACAAACACCAAGAAAUAUUAAGAUCAUGAUGCUUAAUUACAGACGAAUCAUAUACAACUAAAAUUAAGGCUUUAAUAACAGAGAUGGAGAUGGAGAAGAGUACUUGGUAGUUCAAAAGCAGGCAUUCUUAUGUGAAGUUAUUGUUCAUCAUACACCUGAAUAUCCAUUAGAUCAUCAAACCAUAGUAAGCACCAAAUGAAUGACACAUAAUAUGAAAAGCAUAACAAAAGGAAUACAUUCAAUCUUAAAUCAGCAAAGGGAAAAAAUCAUUAAUAAAAGGAUAAAAAUAUAUCAGAGAUGAAAAAUGGAAACAGAUUCUUCUAGUGAAAAAGGCAGAUUUUGAUUCAGAAUCACAAACCUUAAAAAAUCGUAAACCCACGAUUACAUCAUUAGCAUAAAGUCAAAAAACAAAUUCAUAAUCAUCUCACCUUAGUAACUUCGGGUUCGCUUGAGGCAAUGAAGACAAACCUAUAUUAAGACAAACCUUGAAGAUGGUGACCGAUAAGAGCGGCGAUUUAGGGUAAGGUGGAUGGUGGGUGGCGAUGGUGAGCACGGUGACGCGAGGAUGGUGUAAUGUUAUCAUCCACAUUGACGUUGUAAUGAAAGAAGUUGGGGCUCCUUGAAACAAUAAAGAAGAUGUGAAAAUUACAUCAAAAUACAAAGUCCUUAGCAGAUUAUUCAUCAAUGAAAUAAUUAUUUUUUUGGAUGGUUAACUAUCUUCAUCAAAAACACUAACUUCAACAGAGAGAGAAUAUUACUGUGUAUCAUAAUAAGUUAAGAGAGAGAUAUGAAGGAGGAAGAGCAAUGACAGUGAGGCAAAGCGGAGAUGGUGUUGGUGGUAAAGAAGAAGGCAAACGACACUGGUAUUAAUGGAGGAGAAGAAGGGCAGUAAUGAUGUAGUAGAGGUGUCAAUGAGAUGAGAUAUUUAUCUUUUGAAUUUCAAAUUGAGAGAUUUGAUUUGAUUUCCAAAGAAAAAUGCUAACUUUUAGGAGAUACAGAUGUGAUUAAGGGAUGACCAAAGAUGAGCGGGAAAACAAAAAAGAAGUUUACAUAAAGAUGACACGUGGAAAGUAGAGUGAUAGAAAAGUGUCAUGUGGCGUUUUUAGGAGGCUUUUAUUAGAGAGUAGAAAAGAAAAAUAAUGAAUUAUUAUAAUAGAAAUGUUUUUUAUCUUUUAAAUUUAAAAAAAUAAAUAAAUAAAGAAAAAAAACUAAUUAGCUUUAAUUUUAGAAAUUUUAAAAUUAAAAGAUAAGUUUAUUAAUGAAAUUGAUAUCCAUUUAUUACAACAUUUAUAGCAAUUGUUAUAUUAAAUAUUAUGUGGAAUUUAAUAAAAUAGAAAAAAACUCACAAAAUAACAUGUGAAAAAAAAUUUAAUGAAAAAUAACCACAAAGUGACAUUUGGCAAAUUGAAUGAGAGUGUGACAAGUGGCAAAAAAACCUUCAUUUAUUAGAGAAGAUUUUGUGUUAUUUUUAGUUAAUUUAAAGUUUUAUAAAUAAUAAAUACUAGGUGUAAGACUCAUGUAUUAUAUGGAUUCAUUUUAAAAAAAAUAGUAUUGAAUUGUUAACAUUCGAGAAAUUUGAAUUUAUAAGAAAAAUUAGAAAAAUAUCGAAUUAUUAAAUUAAAGUGUUUUUCCUUUCUCAAAUUUACAUAAUAAUUUAUAUAAAUAAACAUAGGAAACUAAUCUGAGUUUAAUUUAGAAAUUUUUGAAAUUAGAAGAAAUAUUAAUGAUUGAUAUUGAUAUAUAUUUAUUAUUAUAUUUAUUGCAACUAUUACAUUUAAAAUUAUGUGGAAUCUAAUAAAAUUGAAAAAACCACAAAAUGUUAUGUGAAAAAAUUUUAAUUGAAAAUAACCACAAAAUGACAUGUUAUCAAAUCAAUGAGAGUGACAUGUUGCAAAAAGAUUUUCAUUUAUUAGAGUAGAUGAUGUCGCCUCUCUCUCACACACAUUCUAUCAACGCUCCAAUAAUAAUUAAUAAAACUAUACCACUACCAUCAAAGAGCAAUAUCAUCAAAGACAUCAUAUUUCGAUCAAAGAAUCACAAUUUCGUUUCAAAAUAUGACCACCAAGUUUUGAUGAUGAUCAACCCAAAUUAAUCCACCGCCACUGAAAUUCCAUUACCCCAAAUCGAAAUCAAGUAUAAAUCGAAACAUUGAUGAUACAGUUUAGUGCGUCCAUUGAAAGUAAAAAACAAAGUAUUAACCAAGUCGAAUUUUUGAUUAAUUAUUUGAUCAAAUCAAAAGAAUCUCAUCGUCACCAUGGCCAUAGAAUCUCAUAGGAGGACAUAUUCAACAGGGAUAGCAUGGGUAUGACCAUCGAAACAUCACCAUGAGAGAGAGAGAGAGAGAGAGAGAGAGAGUGAGUGAGUGAGUGAGAUAAUGAAGUGGGUAUAUUCGUGAUUGAUGGAAGAGUGAACUCGAUAUCGAUGGUGAUAUAGAUCUGUUAUUAUUUUGUUUGAUGAUAUCGAUGAAGAACUGUGUGGCUGCCUUAAGUCAGAAUUUUGGUCUAUUGUUACCGAAGUUGAUGGAAUAACUGUUUUGAUUCAAUGAGUUGCUGUUAGUUGAAGUCGGUGUUUUGUAUUGUUCCAAAAACUUUAAAUAUCCAAUAUCUAUUCAAUAAAGCUAAAACCUGAUGCUUUGAGAAGCUCCAAUAAUUAAUCAAUGUUUGCUUCAGAAUUAUUUUAUUCUCUCUAUGAACAGUGGGGGAUGAACACCCACAUACAAAUCAAGUUAUAGGGGGUGAACACCCACACAUUAUGAUAACCAAGAAAACACGUCAUCAAAUGCCGUUAGAACUUAACGACAAACACGAAAAUGUUAUAGGACAACCAUGUAACCAUUCGACAUAUAUUAGUAAUGUAUUCGAUUUUGUCUUUAAUUACGUCAACAUCUAGGCUCAAGAAUUUUUGUUCGAAGAAUUGUGUCACCUUAAAAUCAGUUUUACAUUUUUAGAAUAUAUGUGUUACCACGAUUCCAAAAUUAUAAAUUUCAUAAAAAUCCAACUAAGUAUGAAAGAUAUAUGAUUUUUAUAGUAAAUAAAAAUCACUGCAUGUAAGAAAUUACGUCAAAAGCUAUAUGGAAAACGGUUGGCCUUUGGAAAAAGUCACCAAAAGGAGAAACGUAGUAUUACUCAAAGUAAGAAUUUUAAGACAAAAAACGUCUGAAAUGGAACCUGUAUGAGAGAGUUAUAAUUUUUAUAAAAUCAUAACGGUUAUAAAAUGUAGUAAAAAAAGAAAGUUAAAACUAGUCAAACGACCAAAAGGAAAGUUAUAGAGUACGUCUAGACCUACACAAAUAUAUAGAGUAGUUGAAAAUGGAGUUCAUAUGUGAGAGUUAUAGAAUUUCAAAAUUCAAUUUUCAUCGUCACACGCACCUAUGCGCAGUGCAUCGUGCACACCUAACACUCAAUCCGUUGGAAUACAGGGUGACAUAGCAUAAGGAGAGGAUGACAUGUAGCCGCUCUACGUGGAUCAUGCACAAUCUUGCGGCGCACAUUGGGCGACAUGCCACAAAAAUUGGCUAUAAAUAGCAGGCUUUGGCAUACAUCUUGUCACACUCUCAAAACGCUCUCUCAAACUCUCUCAAUUUGUGUGUCAUUGCCUCGAUCGUCUCUCGAAGUUUCGGACUCUGGAUUUUCUACCCUACAAAAGUGGUUUCUCAUUUCACAGUUGAGUCCACGACCCCAUUUUCCAAACCUUUUCAGGGGGAAUACAUGUUAAAAUACAAAUAUUCCAUAAUUAUUACUAAUUGUAUAAUGUUAGUUAGAUAAUUAUCCUCAUGACAUUAUGAUGAUAUUAUACCUAAUAGAUACUAUGCCAAACUUUUAAGGAUAAUAUUAUGCAUAGUUAUACUGACCCACAGUGAUAGAAAAUGCCAUAACUAGUUGUUAUGUUUGCUAGUUGCAAGGAAACAUCAGUACUCUAGUCAUUAUUAUAGUCAACCUUUGGCUAAGCUUAGUACCUACCGGUUACUCUGCCCAAAUACCCGGUUACGCAAAAAACGUUAACUUGAUUAUAUAUAUAUAUAUAUAUAUAUCCAUAUCUUCUAAAAUCGUCAGUAAAAGUCACGAAGUAUCUUUCUCNNNNNNNNNNNNNNNNNNNNNNNNNNNNNNNNNNNNNNNNNNNNNNNNNNNNNNNNNNNNNNNNNNNNNNNNNNNNNNNUGAUAUUUGCAUAUUUAGCCUCAUAAUAAGUAUAGAUUUUUAUCAUUUAUUAGCUAAUUUAUUGCAUAUCAUGGACAAAAGAUACUUAAAAGUGUUUGAAUUGUGUUUUCAGUCCAAAAGCGAAGCUCGGAAGCAAAAGGAAGCAGGAGAAGCGGUUGGGAGCUCGGGAGUUGAACAAAGAAGAAAAAGGCUAAAAAUACAAGGUACUCGGCGAGUAGGGUCGACUACUCGACGAGUAGCAUCAAAGAUUCAAGAGGAUAAAGACUUCGUAACUUACCGUGUACGAGAAUUAAGGGAUGGACUCGACGAGUUGGUCUUGGACUCGGCGAGUAAGUUCGAAUCUAUAAAAACAGUUGUCCAGAUCGACACAAGGUAUUCUGGAACCUUUUUGGAGAGAAGAGCUGCGAUUGGAGAGUCAAAAGAACCCUAGAGAUCGAAGAUACAACCUAGAAUUCAAUUCCGAAGGAGAUUUGAGGCAAGUUCUCAUCAUUCUACUUAAUCUAUUGUUUUCAAUCAUGGUUAGACAAUUAGAAUUCGUUUUAUUGCUGUUAAUUACCGUAGUCAUGAGCUAAAACUCUUAAACUUCUGUUUGGGGAUACAAUAUUGAAACUAUGGUUUGAUUUAUGGUAGGAUUAAUUCAAUAUUGGUGAUUUUGUUGAUUUUAGCUUGUUAAAGAACUUUGUGUGUAAAUGAUAACUAUUUUUCUGUUAAUAGGAAGAUAAUUAAAUAGUAUGAACAUCCUUUAAUUGUCAACCUCAUAUGUUUAUGUGACCACUUUAUCAUAUGUCUAGGAUUAAUGAACUUGAAACUAGAAUUAAUAGAAAAUUAGGCAAAUUCAUGUGUGAGCUUGUGUGAUGACCAUCAACAAGAGGUUAACUAAAUGACCAAAUUAGUUAGCUAUUACAAGUCUAAAUUAACCCGAAUAAAUAAUCUAGUGAAUUAAAUUAAAUUAGAAAACUGACCACUAUUUGAGUUAGUUUGUUCUCUAAGGAUUAGUGCAGCGAACGUGAAUCUAAUCACUUGAAUCGGUAGCCAAUAGAAGAAUUAAUCCAUUGCACUAUUACCAUACUAUCAACCAUAGGAUCAAUUGAGUUGAGCUAAACAAAAGUUCCUUUCGUUAUUGAAUUUAGUUAAAUCUUUUCUUUUCUAGUUUUUAGUCUAAGUAAUAUUAGUAAGUUUCUAGUCUUGUAAAACUAGAGAAAACCCCUAUUUAUUAUUUAAUUUAGAUAAAAUUAGUCUUUAGUUUUAAUUUACCAUUCGCUGUGUUCGAUACCCUACUUAUUUAGUUUUACCACAAUUGAUAGGUCCGCUGCCUUUGUGUGUUCAUUUUAUAAUUAUAAGUAGGUUUAAAACUAGUUGAGUUUACACACAUCAAUAUGUGUGUGUGUGCGUGUGUGUGUGCAUGUGUGUAUAAGAUGAUAUACAUAAUAAGUAUAUAUAAUAAAAUACAACAAGAAAAGUGUCACACCCCCAAACCGGAACGGCGGAAUCGUUCGGGGGCGGAGGACAUCAUAUUCAGUAUCAUAACAGUUCAUAGAAAGGAAAGUACACACCACCAUAAUAUAAAUAUGUUUGAAAAGUUUACAUGAUUGUAGGUGUUACAUGUUUGCAAAAGAAAUCAAAUAUAAAAUGGUGAUCCAAAAUAUGUUACUAACGCCAAUGCGUUAGUCUUCAGAAGUAGUUGCUACCUGGCUAGCGGUUUCCUGUGAAUACAAGUUAUUUCAAAGAAAAAGUGUCAACAUUUAAGUUGGUGAGUUCAUAAGUAGUGUUUUGAGAAGAUGUAUGCCAUUCGAAAGUGUUUGCAUGUUUUCCAGAAAAACCCUUAUUUUCUUAUUAAAGUAUGCAAUGCAUAUGAAUGUUCGUGAUGUAAAUUGCAACUAAUUGUACCAAGAAAAUCCCUUAUUUUCCUAUUAGUUGUUUGGUUUGUAUACAGGAAAAACCCUUAUUUCCCUGACAUAGCUGGCAGUCUCUAAGACCGAAAAUCGCAAGCAAUCGACGUGCUCGAAAGGUGUGGCAUAGUUUUACAUAGUAAAGCUAUACGAAGAUCGCACUUAUUAGAUGAAGAAUAGUUUUAAUGACUACUCGUUCAUAAAAGCAUAAUACCAUAAUAAUUGUAUAUCCGAUGAGUUUUAUAACCGUACUAAACAUAAUAUGCCUGUAGCGACGUUCUUCAGGCGUCGUAGCGUUAUGACAACUGUCACCCCAAAAGACGGACUGUAGCUAACAGUCAGGGCGCGGGAUCAUGACUUCCCGUAUAGAUCUAUACACAUUUGACACGUUCUCCGAACGGGAGACUCUGGUUAUAGACAGGACUUGUAGCAUUAUUUUCUAAUAAAGAAAGUAACGUUUGAAGAUAUACACGACUCAUGGAUUCUCAACUAAGUCCGUAAU
rnacentral:lncRNA from 1 species